GAUAAGAGCGUCGUGGGUGGAAAAAUGAAACUCAACCUAACCUAAACCACUUCUAUACCGGGGUUCUCGCUGGUAACCAACAGAGAAUUAAUUCCACGACGCUCAUUUUUUUC
rnacentral:telomerase_RNA from 1 species